ensembl:snRNA U6 U6 spliceosomal RNA
AUGCUCACUUCGGCAGCACAUAUACUAAAAUUGGAACGAUACAGAGAAGAUUAGCAUGGUCUUGGUGCAAGGGCGACAUGCAAAUUUGUAAAGCGUUCCAUAUUUUU